AAAUAAGAAACAAAAGCUUGUGUUUAGUUUCGACCUAAAAUUUGGUGGUAAGCACCCUUAUUUA
rnacentral:tRNA from 1 species